AAAGAAAUGCUUUUCAGGGUGGCUUUUCUGGUAUCCUACACAUUCAGAACUUUGUUGUUGUUGUUGGCUCUUUCCCAAGACCUCAAAACUGUUAUUAUUGUGUGGCUAACCCUGAAAGUAAAGCCCGUUCAUAGUUUAAGGCAGAAUCAAGUCAGCACAGCAAUAAUAAGUGGGUGUUUGAAUUACAUUAUUUCUGUGACUUUUCCAUAAUACUUUGCCUUUUAGGAGUGGAGGUCUAGAGACUUUCAUGAGAAUAACAAGCAGUUUGGAAAGGAUCUCUAGGAAUCUCUUGCAUGAGAUAUACAAAAUUAGUUAAUGUUCAUAGGAAACAUUUUGGAAACAUUAACCAUGAGCAAUAUAUUAGUGCUAAAAGGAAAUAUUUGCUAUUGUCUUUUUUUAGGAGUUGGUGAAAAACCAAAUUCUGGUCUAAGACUACAGUCCUUUUCAAACCAGAUAGGCUGCAAAUUCCUAAAAUUGUAAAUUCCUAGGUUACACAAGAUUUAUCAGCAAUCCAGUGGAAAUGAGUCUAAAUCAUGCUCUACUUAUAUGAAUAACAUUACUGAAGUGACACAAAUAACAGAGGCCCUGUAUACUCCCAUUGGAAUCUGUUCUCCCACUGAAAUUGAAUGGAGAUGCUAUUUGUCUGAAUAGAGAGUCUGAUUUUAGGAGUUUGUUAAUUCUUUGAUAAGAGGGCAACAACAGCUAAACAUAUGGCAAAUCAUUUUUAUUUUUUUUGCUAUCAAAUAGUGGAUCGGAUUGCAUGCUGAAAACCUCAGUAAGCUGGAGAGAUGAAUCACCAGGAACAUGCCAGAACUGGAAUGAAGGGAGAGAAAGAGAUCAGCAGAAAACAGGGAAAAGAUGUGGCUUCAUUUCAUCACAAACAGGUUUAUUUUAUAUUUCCUUUUGCUGCCAGAGUUAAGACUUGAUUCUGUUGUUGGCCAAAGAGGUUAUAUAUUAAUUGCUCUCAAGAAGUGCAAUCCAUAUUCAAGUCCUGUUACAUGGUUAUAAUUUGCAUAACUGUUUUUAUGAUUAAGAAUAGAGAAAUAUCAUUAAUAUGCUCAGAGACUAGUUUGUAGGACUUAAAAGUAUAUUAAUAGUUCCAGCUCUCUAAUGUCAAAAUACAGAUUCCAGUGAUACUGAUACUUUAGUUUUACUUAAGAAUCUGUUAUGUGGCACAGCAAAAAUGUGAAUGCGUUGCUGGUUUUCACAGUUAGUUUUCUCAUAACCAAAUGAGCCAGAUGGACUGAGCAACAAUAUUUCCUACAUUUAUAAACUGUUUUUUUCUACAAGCAUACAACUUCAAAUACUCAGGUUUCUAGCUUAUUUCUGAUCCCAUAGCCAAUCUGCUGAGGGAUUUUGGGGUACUGUGGUUUUGGUGCUAACAUUUACAUCAUCACAUAGCUCUAUAUUUUACUAUGGUAAUAGUAAUAAUAGCAACAAUAAUAGUAAUAAAUACAGUGCUGGUGGUUCCAGUGAUUUCUGUCAUCUCACAGUCUCUGAAGAUCUGCAAGUCCUAUGACAAAGUAAACAUAUCAGGUUCCAUGAAAAUAAAAAAUAACCAGCUUUUUGUUUGUGAGAAGAGCCGAAGAAAACUAAUCCAGCUGCACACUUGUGAUCUCAGCCUUGAAAACCAAAAUGGAAAAAAAAAAAAGUAAAACUCUUUUUCUGCACAUAAUCUUGGGGGUUUUAUUCAUGACUUUCAAAUUCUUGAGUUUGGUGUUACUAGAGUUAGUAUUAAAGGAAGAGACUCCCACCCUCGCCCCUCAGCUGAACAGUAGAUGGGAGCUGGUCAAUAGCUUGUUGAGUGCACUGAAAAAUGUAUUUUCCUCCUUAGCAGGUCAGCGUUUUAUGUCAGUACCUGGAUCUUGCCAAAAAUCUUCAAUCUUUUGGAUACAAAUUCUGAAGGCCCCUGAGCUUCUAAAAACCAGGACAUUGCACAAGCAUUCUGCAGUACCUAUCAUAGGUCAGUUGCUCCCUCAAAGAUAAAUUGCAACAAGGUAGAGUACUGAAAAUAUUGCUAAAUAAAUAAAAUUUCAUCUUCGUUAGGAUGAUAAAGUUUCAUCUUGGAUAGCAAUUUAGGAAAAAAUGUUAUUCAGAUCCUACUUAUGGUUCCACUGCUUUAAACAAAUUAGUGUUUCUCUUUCCCAGAUUCCCAAGAUGUAAAGGUUCAAAUAUUCACUGAGCUAUCUGACAGGUACAUUUUGAGGAGUAAGUAUAAUUUCUUUUGUGCUUACUAUCAUGCAUUAGAAAUAUAAAAACAUAAUGGAAUACACAUUUAAAAAUUUGCUAUGCAAAAAAUCUAUGUUACGAAUGUACCAUCACACUGUUAUAAAAGCAACCUCUUUUUUUUUUUUUUUUUUUUCCCUUAAUAGUGCUUAAAACCUGAUCUGUAAUACAGCACAUAAGCAUAACGCUAGGCUGGAACUGCCAGAAAUAAAUGCCAGCACUUUCGGAAAUAUUUAAAAACCUUAUUCAUACAAAUCUGGGGUUGAAUUGCAUACAUUUGUAAAACCACUUAUUUAGAGGUGGGAGGAACCUCACUGGAUAUCUGUAAUUGAAAAAUCUUACUUUCAACUAAAACUGAGAAAAGUUUUACCGAUGGGAUGAUACUCGAAACUAGUAACGUAAGUUGUUCCAGCUGCUGUGAACAUUUCUGGAAGACUUCUUAGGUAAUGCACUAGAUCCUAACCCAACUGAAAUUAACUUCAGUUAACUGAAUUUAUAGUUAAAUGACCCUGAAAUGCUGCUCAAGUUCUUACUUUCUAGUAUCUAUGCAAUGUCAUUGUUUAGUAAUUAAAUUUUUCAGUGCUUUAGUGUUCUGGAAGAGACUUCAUCUAUCCAUAAAUGGCUACCAAUUAAUUCUUUUUUAUUCCUGUUUCAUUUUCCAGCUUUCAUAAUAGUGAAUCUAUUUGGACAGAAAAUUAGUGUUUGGAUGGUUUCCAGAGUGACAAUUAUGAAAAAUAGGUGAAUGAAAAUCCUCCAAUGUACUCCAACUGGUUUCCAGUUGAAGUAGUGCAUGAAAAUGGUACUUUAAAAAAGUCAGAAAAAUUUUGGGUUUGUCUGCCAAAAGUCUCAGGAAUCAGGUAUAGAGAUGAAAUUUCAUGUUUUCUGUCAUGGCAGCAGAGUAACUGCACGAAAUUAAAAAAGGCAAAACUGAGGCUCUUCUAGACUUCCCUGAUCCUCCUGUGACAAAGCAACUGCAGUUGUCAAAGGCAGUGUAUUAGACCCUGCCUGCCACAGUUCUUGCAAGUAGCACCAUGGUAAGAAGCCCCUGGAAAGCCCUUGCUGGAAACCAAAACCAAGCUUGCAUGGUGCUGAUAAAAGACAGACUCAUCAGCAGCUUUGGGCUGUAUGGCUUCACUAGAUUUGGGACUUCAUCCCAGAGCUUGAUGCUUCCAGGUUCAUUCGAGUCAUGCCUGAUGACCUGUUUACUUGGGUUCUACUUUGAAGAUGUGUCUGUGAUGUACCUUUGAGUGGUCCAGUUGCCUCAGCAGGUCUGGAGCAGGACCCCAGGUUGGAUGUUGACUGAAUUCAGGAGGAUGAUGGCACUUUGAACAAAACCAGCUGGGGAAGUCUGUUUGUUAAUUAUUAACCCUCUAGGGAAGAGACUGAAUUGGAAAUGUGCAUAUGAGACUUUCUGGGAAAAUAUAAAACAUCAUGUAAAUCUCUUUGGAAAAGAAAUACCUAUACUGCAGCUGGUAUUUUUAGCAGAAAGGGAGGAGACAACUUGUGAUAUAUAAAUGAACUCAAGAUGGAUAACAAUUCAGUCUUAGACUCAUUUUGUCCCUGUAGUAUGAUUCAGCAGUCCUGAGGCUGAAAUAAGGCAAACAUUAAGGAAUUAUGAGAAGUUAUACAUUUAUUGUGAUAGAAAUCAUAGAGCGGGAAAAAAAGACUGUUGUCCGCAUCUUGACCACUUUGCAAUAAGGAAAAGGGGAUUUUCAAAGCUCUAAAGAGGAGAAGUGCAUCAAACUGCAUACUGUGCCUUAGAAUAUAUUGUUCAAGAGCUACUGUGAUAAAUAUUCAGAUACCUAAUGUAAAUAUUUAAUUCACACAAAGGGAAAAAGAAAAGUCAUAAUGGUCUUUGGAUAGUAGACACUGCUGUGACAAAUUUACAUCUCACUCCACCUGAAUGCUCUAAUCCUUCCACUACAAGCUGGCCAGAGAGGUCACUGUUUAGUCUAUACAGUUUUUUUUCUCCUAUUUUAGGUGGUUUAGGGAUAGAAAAAAGAAAGAGUUAGAUAUGGGCACUACACCGAACUCUGGUGCAGUUCAGUGUUUAACCUGUGGCCAGUUGUAGCUGCAAUUAUAGCAUGAAAUGGAAAAAAAAAAUAAAA